rnacentral:rRNA from 1 species
GGGGGCCCGCACAAGCGGUGGAGCAUGUGGUUUAAUUCGAUGCAACGCGAAGAACCUUACCUGGUCUUGACAUCCACGGAAGUUUUCAGAGAUGAGAAUGUGCCUUCGGGAACCGUGAGACAGGUGCUGCAUGGCUGUCGUCAGCUCGUGUUGUGAAAUGUUGGGUUAAGUCCCGCAACGAGCGCAACCCUUAUCCUUUGUUGCCAGCGGUCCGGCCGGGAACUCAAAGGAGACUGCCAGUGAUAAACUGGAGGAAGGUGGGGAUGACGUCAAGUCAUCAUGGCCCUUACGACCAGGGCUACACACGUGCU